UACGGGGGGGGCAAGCGUUGUUCGGAAUUACUGGGCGUAAAGGGCUCGUAGGCGGCCAACUAAGUCAGACGUGAAAUCCCUCGGCUUAACCGGGGAACUGCGUCUGAUACUGGAUGGCUUGAGUUUGGGAGAGGGAUGCGGAAUUCCAGGUGUAGCGGUGGAAUGCGUAGAUAUCUGGAGGAACACCGGUGGCGAAGGCGGCAUCCUGGACCAACACUGACGCUGAGGAGCGAAAGCCAGGGGAGCAAACGGG
rnacentral:rRNA from 1 species